AUUGAACGCUGGCGGCAGGCCUAACACAUGCAAGUCGAACGAGUGGCGGACGGGUGAGUAAUGUCUGGGAAACUGCCCGAUGGAGGGGGAUAACUACUGGAAACGGUAGCUAAUACCGCAUACCAUCGGAUGUGCACAGAUGGGAUUAGCUAGUAGGUGGGGUAACGGCUCACCUAGGCGACGAUACCUAGCUGGUCUGAGAGGAGGACCGGCCACACGGGAACGGAGAAACGGUCAAGACUCCUACGGAAGGCAGCAGUGGGGAAUAUUGCACAAGGGGCGCAAGCCGGAGGCAGCAAUGCCGCGUGUAUGAGGAAGGCCUUCGGGUUGUAAAGUACUUUCAGCGAGGAGGCGUUACUCGCAGAAGAAGCACCGGCUAACUCCGUGCCAGCAGCCGCGGUAAUAC
rnacentral:rRNA from 1 species